rnacentral:rRNA from 1 species
GGGUGAGUAAUGUAUCGGAACGUGCCCAGUAGCGGGGGAUAACUACGCGAAAGCGUAGCUAAUACCGCAUACGCCCUACGGGGGAAAGCAGGGGAUCGCAAGACCUUGCACUAUUGGAGCGGCCGAUAUCGGAUUAGCUAGUUGGUGGGGUAACGGCUCACCAAGGCGACGAUCCGUAGCUGGUUUGAGAGGACGACCAGCCACACUGGGACUGAGACACGGCCCAGACUCCUACGGGAGGCAGCAGUGGGGAAUUUUGGACAAUGGGGGAAACCCUGAUCCAGCCAUCCCGCGUGUGCGAUGAAGGCCUUCGGGUUGUAAAGCACUUUUGGCAGGAAAGAAACGUCGCGGGUUAAUACCCCGCGGAACUGACGGUACCUGCAGAAUAAGCACCGGCUAACUACGUGCCAGCAGCCGCGGUAAUACGUAGGGUGCAAGCGUUAAUCGGAAUUACUGGGCGUAAAGCGUGCGCAGGCGGUUCGGAAAGAAAGAUGUGAAAUCCCAGAGCUUAACUUUGGAACUGCAUUUUUAACUACCGGGCUAGAUGUGUCAGAAGGAAGUGGAAUUCCGCGUGUAGCAGUGAAUUGC